GAUUGUAUCACUGAUACCGCUGUUGCGAAUUUUGCUGCCUUUCCUCUUCCAGCACCUAGCUCGUUCGCUACUCGCACUCCGGUGGCAGCGAAAAACGCAAGCGGUAUCAUCAUCUCCCAACCAUUAAUAUUCAUGCAGAUGGACAACGCAUCAAGGGCCAACGUCGCGUUCUCCAAAUAUCCUGUCAUCAACAUCAAUAUCCGAUAGUACCAGUUCUCCAAGCAAAGCAUAACACCAGCAGCAGCGGAAAGUCGAAAAAAUUCGCAAAGUCCCGAAAAUGCUUGUGCUGAGAAGCCAGUCCACGUUUCUGGGCACCCACCGGAUGCGGCGUACAUAAACAUUCCAACAACCAGCAACCACCACGAUAUGUCUAGUGCUACGGCGGCUCCCACUAACCCCAAAUUCAGUUUGUACACAAACAACCAACUGAUCACCGUGUGAAUCGCCAGCACCGCCAGUGAAAUCCAGGCGAUAACCACCGUCUUCAGCUGGCUCUGAAGGAACCUCUGUAUCGGAAAUUGAAAAGCAAAGCUGAAGUGUAGCGGAAUAAACCACAACGCCACUAUCCCUGAUAGCUCUGCGACGUCGUCUGGUUGACCUAGCGAUUUUAAAAUUGGGGUAGCGUAUAUGUACAUCGGAAGGAGAAGGAAACAACAGAGGGUUAAAACAAUCCAUGAUCUCUGCAUGUAUAUUCCUAACAUAUGGUGCUUUUUCGCUCCAUAAGCUUGCCCGCAUAACGUUUCUAAUGCACUCGCCAUCCCUAAAAGGAGACCAAAGUUGAGUCCAACAAUGACGGUAUUAGAAAUGGAGAUAGCAGCAAGUUGAACUUCACCAAGGUGACCAGCAAAACUUUGAGUGAUAAUAUUCAUGGUGUAAGAAGCUAUACGGCUGAAGAUGGCUGGACCGACGAUAUGCCAUAGUUUUUUGGUUUCAAUCCAUACUCUUGUUUUCAGAUCCUCAAUUUUAUUCUCCGCCAACAGUAAUGGUUGCUGGUUCUCGUCGAUAACGCUGCCCAUUUGUAACACUAGAACUAAA
rnacentral:misc_RNA from 1 species